rnacentral:rRNA from 1 species
UACGGGGGGGGCAAGCGUUGUUCGGAAUUACUGGGCGUAAAGGGCCCGUAGGCGGCCAACUAAGUCGGAUGUGAAAUCCCCAGGCUCAACUUGGGAACUGCAUCCGAUACUGGAUGGCUUGAAUUCGGGAGAGGGAUGCAGAAUUCCAGGUGUAGCGGUGAAAUGCGUAGAUAUCUGGAGGAACACCGGUGGCGAAGGCGGCAUCCUGGACCGGCAUUGACGCUGAGGCGCGAAAGCCAGGGGAGCAAACGGG